AUUUAUUGGUAAAGGAAAUGAAUUUGAUGAUCUCUACAUCCUUGAUGAAUGGAAACCUCAGUCUGUUUCAUACUCAGGUGUUAUUUCUCCAUUUGAAGCAAAUUGUCGAUUGGGACAUCAUUCACUACCAUAGUUGAAAAAGAUUUGUCCCGAGUUUCAAAAUAAUUCUUCAUUGGAUUGUGAAUCAUGUCUUUUUGUCUAGCACUAUCGGACCUGGUUAAGUCCAAGGGUUAAUAAGCGAGUAGAGUCGGCUUUUGAGUGAGUUCAUUAUGAUGUUUGGGGACCAUGUCAUGUUAUUUCCAGAACUGGACAUAAAUAUUUUGUUACUUAUGCGGAUGAUUUUUGUAGAAUGACAUGGAUAUACUUUAUGAAGAAUAUAUCUGAAGUGUUUUCCCAUUUUUGUGUUUUCUGCUAAACACAAGACUCAAUUUAAUAUUAAUGUGCACAGUAAGGAGUGAUAAUGCUAAAGAGUACAUGUAAGAAUUAUUUUAGUCGUAUAUGAGGCAACAUGGUAUUCUCCACCAGUCAUCUUGUGUUGAUACCCCUUCAAGAAUGGAGCUGUUGAAAGAAAAAAUAGGAAUCUCUUCAGAAAGCCCGAGUACUAUUAUUUCAAAUAAAGGUUGCUAAGCAGUUUCGGGCCGACGCAAUCUCUACAACUUGUUUCCUGAUUUAAUCACAUGCAAUCUAGUAUGCUUGGAGGUAAUGUACCUUAUAACAUUCUUUAUCCAAAUAAGUCCCAAGAUCCGGUGUAACUUAAGGUAUUUGGAAGAAGUUGUUAUGUUAGAGAUGUUGGACCAUCAGUUACCAAGUUGGAUCCCAAAGGCCUUGAAGUGUGUUUUCUUCGGAUAUUCUCGCGUUCAGAAGGAAUAUCGUUUUUACUCUACUGAACUUUGAAAAUAUUUGGUCUCAACUAAUGUAUCCUUUUCGGAGGCUACACCAUUCUUCUAUGCACCUCCCAUUUUCUACGAGUCAGGAUGAGGAAGAUGAGUGGUUAGUGUAACAAGUUACCAGGGCUAUACCAGAGCGAUCAAAUGAUGUUUCUCAUACAUCACCCGAUUCUUCAAUUGAAAACCAAUCUAUUAUUGUUCCUUCAGUGCUUGUUCCAUCAUCUCCAACAAGACCACCCGUUGUUCAGGUUUACUCUAAGAGGCAGGUGACUAAUGUUACCUAUGCUGCACCAACUCCCUCGUCAUUAGAUUCUCCUUCAAGUGAUCCUAUAGAAUAUAUUUACCUUCCUGUUGCUCUUCGCAAAGGUUCCGGCCUUUGAGUUCCUUGGAGGCCAAUUGAAGAAGACUUGGACUCUUUCCUCCAAGUGAUGGCAGUUCCUCAUGUUCUAGGGUGUUACCUUUUAUAUAAUCUAGGUUUGAAGUUGUAUUGUCAUAAAAAUAUUGUUCAUUCCUUAAUCAUCUAGAACAUUGAUGAAAGUCUAUAUUGAUAUAUUGACAUUGUAUUGUUUAUGUCCAACAUUUGUACUCGUUUAGAUGGUUCAAUAUGAGACAAAUCAUUUGAUUAA